rnacentral:rRNA from 1 species
AUUGAACGCUGGCGGCAGGCCUAACACAUGCAAGUCGAGCGGAUGAAGGGAGCUUGCUCCUGGAUUCAGCGGCGGACGGGUGAGUAAUGCCUAGGAAUCUGCCUGGUAGUGGGGGAUAACGUCCGGAAACGGGCGCUAAUACCGCAUACGUCCUGAGGGAGAAAGUGGGGGAUCUUCGGACCUCACGCUAUCAGAUGAGCCUAGGUCGGAUUAGCUAGUUGGUGGGGUAAAGGCCUACCAAGGCGACGAUCCGUAACUGGUCUGCGAGGAGGAUCAGUCACCCGGGAGGUGGGACAGGGACAAGAGUACUGAGGGAGGCAGCAGUGGGGAAUAGGGGGCAAUGGGCGGGAGCAUGGUCCAACGAGGCGGAGUGUGAGGAAAAGGUGUUCGGAGUGGGAAGAAGGUUAAGGUGGUAGAAAGGGCAGUAAGUUGAUACGAAGCGGGAUUGACGGUACCAGCAGAAGAAGCACCGGCUAACUACGUG